rnacentral:rRNA from 1 species
UACCCGCUGAACUUAAGCAUAUCAAUAAGCGGAGGAAAAGAAACCAACAGGGAUUACCUUAGUAACGGCGAGUGAAGCGGUAAAAGCUCAAAUUUGAAAUCUUCGGAAUUGUAAUUUGAUGGAUAAAAUUGCUAACUGACAAAAGUCCAUUGGAAGAUGGCGCCAUAGAGGGUGAUAGCCCCGUUAUUGUCAACUUGCACUAUAAUUUUAUUCCAAAGAGUCGGGUUGUUUGGGAAUGCAGCUCAAAGUGGGUGGUAAAUUCCAUCUAAAGCUAAAUAUUGACGAGAGACCGAUAGCGAACAAGUACAGUGAUGGAAAGAUGAAAAGAACUUUGAAAAGAGAGUGAAACAGUACGUGAAAUUGUUGAAAGGGAAGGGGAGGGAAGAUGUUAAAGGAACUCCUUGCUUUUGCAGGGAUUCCCCCAAGAGUCUUUCCUCUCGCCCGUCUUGAA